rnacentral:rRNA from 1 species
GAUGAACGCUGGCGGCGUGCCUAAUACAUGCAAGUCGAGCGAACAGACGAGGAGCUUGCUCCUCUGACGUUAGCGGCGGACGGGUGAGUAACACGUGGAUAACCUACCUAUAAGACUGGGAUAACUUCGGGAAACCGGAGCUAAUACCGGAUAAUAUAUUGAACCGCAUGGUUCAAUAGUGAAAGACGGUUUUGCUGUCACUUAUAGAUGGAUCCGCGCCGCAUUAGCUAGUUGGUAGGUAACGGCUUACCAAGGCAACGAUGCGUAGCCGACCUGAGAGGGUGAUCGGCCACACUGGAACUGAGACACGGUCCAGACUCCUACGGGAGGCAGCAGUAGGGAAUCUUCCGCAAUGGGCGAAAGCCUGACGGAGCAACGCCGCGUGAAUGAUGAAGGUCUUCGGAUCGUAAAACUCUGUUAUUAGGGAAGAACAAAUGUGUAAGUAACUAUGCACGUCUUGACGGUACCUAAUCAGAAAGCCACGGCUAACUACGUG